GACGAACGCUGGCGGCGUGCUUAACACAUGCAAGUCGAACGGAAAGGCCCUGCUUUUGUGGGGUGCUCGAGUGGCGAACGGGUGAGUAACACGCGAGUAACCUGCCCUUGAAUUUGGGAUAACUUCAGGAAACUGGGGCUAAUACCGCAUAGGAGCUCCUGCUGCAUGGUGGGGGUUGGAAAGAUUCGGUGGUUGGGGAUGGACUGGCGGCUUAUCCGCUUGUUGGUGGGGUAGUGGCUUACCAAGGCUUUGACGGGUAGCCCGCCUGAGAGGGUGACCGGCCACAAGGGGACUGAGAUACGGAGCAGUAUGCUACGGGAGGCAGCAGGGGGGAACUUGGCGCAACGGGGGGAAGCCAGAUGCAGCAACGCCGCGUGCGGAAUAACGGCCUUCUGGUGGAGAACCGCUUUCGCAUGUAACGAAGAGGGAGUGACGGUAAUGGGUAAAGAAGCAACGGCUAACUACGUG
rnacentral:rRNA from 1 species